rnacentral:rRNA from 1 species
AGGACGAACGCUGGCGGCGUGCUUAACACAUGCAAGUCGAGCGGAAAGGCCCUUCGGGGUACUCGAGCGGCGAACGGGUGAGUAACACGUGAGUAACCUGCCCCUAGCUCUGGGAUAGCUCCGGGAAACCGGGAUUAAUACCAGAUACGACCACUUUAGACAUCUGUCGUGGUGGAAAGGAUUCCAGCUAGGGAUGGGCUCGCGGCCUAUCAGCUUGUUGGUGGGGUAACGCCUACCAAGACGACGACGGGUAGCCGGCCUGAGAGGGCGACCGGCCACACUGGGACUGAGACACGGCCCAGACUCCUACGGGAGGCAGCAGUGGGGAAUAUUGCGCAAUGGGCGAAAGCCUGACGCAGCGACGCCGCGUGGGGAUGAAGGCCUUCGGGUUGUAAACCCCGUUUCAGCAGGGACGAAGCGAAAGUGACGGUACCUGCAGAAGAAGCGCCGGCUAACUACGUGCCAGCAGCCGC